UACGAAGGGGGCUAGCGUUGUUCGGAAUACCUGGGCGUAAAGCGCAUGUAGGCGGAUUUUUAAGUCAGAGGUGAAAUCCCAGGGCUCAACCCCGGCAUUGCCUUUGAUACUGGAGAUCUGGAGUCUGGGAGAGGUGAGUGUAAUUCCGAGUGUAGAGGUGAAAUUCGUAGAUAUUCGGAGGAACACCAGUGGCGAAGGCGGCUCACUGGCCCGAGACUGACGCUGAUAUGCGAAAGCGUGGGGAGCAAACAGG
rnacentral:rRNA from 1 species